AAUAUUGGACAAUGGGCGAAAGCCUGAUCCAGCCAUGCCGCGUGUGUGAAGAAGGUCUUCGGAUUGUAAAGCACAUUAAGUUGGGGGGAAGGGCUGUAGGUUAAUACCAUUCAAUAUUGACGUUACCAUUAGAAUAAGCACCGGCUAACUUCGUUCCAUCAGCCGCCGUAAUACGAAGGGUUCAAGCUGUAAUCGGAAUUACUGGGCGUAAAGCGCGCGUAGGUGGUUCGUUAAGUUGGAAGUGAAAGCCCCGGGCUUAACCUGGGAAUUGCUUUCAAAACUGACGAGCUAGAGUACGGUAGAGGGUAGUGGAAUUUCCUGUGUAGCGGUGAAAUGCGUAGAUAUAGGAAGGAACAUCAGUGGCGAAGGCGACUACCUGGACUGAUACUGACACUGAGGUGCGAAAGCGUGGGGAGCAAACAGG
rnacentral:rRNA from 1 species